AUCACAUCGGCUUCAUUAGUAGCCACACAGUCACCUGCCAGCUAACGACAGCUCUGGAAGGCACCUCUGCUCUUUGACACGAGAAGGAUUCUGAAAAGGGGUCUAAUCAAGUGGCUUCCUUGCGCACCAUCCUCCCGGACGCCCACGGGCUAACACUCCAUGUGUGGUUGUGAAUAAAGUUUUAUUGGAACACAGCCGUACCCACUUGUUCACAUGCUGUCUUUGGCUGACUUUGCACCACCUUAGCAAAGUGGAGCAGGUGCCCCACAAAGCCUGAGCGAUGGACUAUGCACGCCUCUCCAGGAAAAGCUGCCAGCCCCUGGUCUGGCUUCAAAACCAGAGGCCAUGGCUUCAAUAAAAUCUGGAUUAUUCAAAAGCACAAGUAAAGAGCAAUGAGGGUGCUGGGGAGAAAGUAAAGCCGGCAAGAGCUCCCCAAGUGCGGCGCUGGCAGACGCCCAGGAUGCCAGAGGCCGGCGCCAGCCCCAGAGGGCACGGGGAACAGGCACUCAUACCACGAAGGCAGCCUGAGUCCUCUUCCUAGCAUUGCAGAGGUCAAGCUUGGGAAAGCUUAGGGGCUCUGUAAUCCCUGCGGGGGCGGGCGGGGGGCUAGUAGCUGUUGGGUGGCCCCACUUCCUGUGUCCAGACCCUGGAAGUGCGGGGAGGUAAACAUGGUCCUCCCAGUAAAAAGAAAAGACCACCGUGCAAACAAUUGAAGGCCAAGAACUAUCAGUGCUGCGCGAAGAAGCGCCUUUGCCCCUGGCUGAGCACGCUCUGUGUUUGUGGUGAGUUAAGCAAGAGGCCUCCCUGAAAGGAGCCGCCCUUCCCUAGGGACGGGGACGGGGACAGCUACCCGCAGGACUGAGCGCGUGCGUGGCCUGCGUGCUGGACUCACUUGGCUGCGGCCCGGCCCCUCCCGCAGGAAGCAGCUCCUGCGCCCCGGUGAUGCUCUUCCGCUCACACCCUGGAACCCACAUCCCAGCCCGAGGGGAGCCGCAGCCCUCAGCAGGCAGCCCCAGCACCUGGCUCGCCUCCCUCUGCUCCGGGCCAAACCCUCAGACGCAGAAGAAACCGGAGCCCUCAGUUGGCCGGAGCGCGGCUUCCUGUCCAAGUGUUUGCGGCCGGGCUUCCUGCUGAUGGAGGAGCAGCCCGCAGCGCGGCCACAUCCCCGCGGUGGCUCCCACGCCCGGCCACCACGCACGGCCAGCUGGCAACCGCGGCCGCUGCGCUCCCUGCAGCUGUCUGCCGACGUGACAUUCGUGGAGAAGCAGGGGUCGGGCCACCAGGGCUAGAAAGGGGAUCCCUUUGGGAGGAAGAGAGGAGGCUAUGAAUCAGGCAGAAGCCCAGGGCUCACAGGCUUGUCCUGGGCAGGUGGCCAGAGCACAGCGCACCUGCAGCCCACACCCCGCACACAGACCCGAAGCCCCCUCCCUCGCCGCCUGCAGCCCUCGGCCUGCACCUCCGCGCCGGCAGCUGAGAGCACCCUGGGUUCCCAUCUCUCCGUCUUCACCUUCCCGGAAAACCAGCGCCCCCUCCACCAGGGGACACUGGCGAGAGACACUUUGCUGGGCGUGCUGUUCAUCUCCCCGCAUUUUCAGGGCCUUGACACAGGAAAGGAGCUUAUCCAGGGAGCCCCAGGGAAUGAGAGCAGGAAGAACGGGAACAGAGACAUCCUGCAUAAGGGACAGCAACUGUCCUAAAGGUAGGGAGCCUCCCAUCGCUAGACUAUUCAACAGAGAUUGUGCCCGGGACGCCAAAGCGCUGGACGGCAGACUCAGUAGGACCAGAAGGACCAGGACAACACAGCGCCUGGAAAAGGCACCAGGACAGUGCAGGGUCUGAGGGUCGGUCCUUCCUGCUACCGCAAGUCUCUUUCGGCCCUUGAAGACCAGCGUGACGAUGUAACCAGAGCCCUGGUGUGGGGUGAGCACCGGAGGGUCCCCGAUCGUCUGAGAAACACCAGACUCAGCCGGUCCUACAAAACUGAUUUCUCCCCGGACAGAGGGAGGGCAUGACCGCGCGCCCUGCAUGACCAACGGAGGGCUGGGGAAUCUCUGGAGGGGCCUGUGCCUUUCGGGGGCUGUUCCCCAACUUUCUCCACGUGGGGACGCAAACCCAACCCCCACAAGGUAAAGGAGAGGUUUGGUUUCUUCAUGGCUACAGUCCGCGCUCGCCCAGCCGGCUCCAAGGCAGGAACAGCAUGGCGGAAGGAUCUGGCGGAGCGAAACUGCCCGGCUAAUGGGGACCGGAAGCAGAGGCCGGAAGUAGACCCCGGAGCAGCGGCAGGAAGGAAGGGGUGGGAACAAAGGAACCCCCCGGAAGCCACGCCUCCACGAUCCACCAGACUACGGGAAGUGAGCUCCGUCCGCCCCAUCUCCACGGCCGGGGGCUGUCGGAGGAGGGGGCAGAAACCAGUUUCUCUGCUUCUCCCUUUAUGUGGCCACGACACCUGUGGGGUCCCAGCUCCUGCCGGGGAACCUCCCCCAGGUCCCAGGUCUCACUGGGUUCCGGAAAGAGGCACCAUCUCCAUCCGGGCCUAGUGGAGAUGGCCUGUGGUCUCAGCAGUCUGGGAGGCUGAGGCAGGAGGAUGGCAAGUUCCAGAUCAGCCUGGGGAACUCACUGUCUCAAAAUUAACAUGGGCAGGAAACGUGGCUCAGUCUCCAGGAUGGGACUGAAGGAAGAGGGAAGGGGGAGGGCUGACAGGCUGCCUCCCCAUGGGCUCCUCAUUUUCUUCCAGCACCUGCACAACCAGCUCUCCUCCACCAAGGCUUCUGAGUGGGUCCCCUUUUCUUUCCCCAGGUGGGUGCGAGUUUAUUGAGCCCGGCCCCUGGCGGGGUCGACCUGAUGGCGGAAGGGACAGUCCUCUCCCGGCCAGCUUCAGGAGGUCCAAAGAGCAGAGCGGCCGGGCGCGGCAGGGGAGAGCAGGCCGGCGUCCGCCUGCUUGAGGAGGCCCCAGCUGCACCCCUGGGUGUGCGCUGAGCUGAGGACCUGGUGUCCCCCGCCCGCCGCCCCCAGGAGGCCCCCUCCUCUCUCUCCUGCUAGCCCUGGCACCCUUUGAGGCGAUGACACAGACUCAUGGCGCUCGAGGACGUGGGCCAGCGCGUGUGACUCAGCCUCUCGGGGCUCUGAGUCGGCCGCGCUUCCAGCCGCACGUCACCGCCACAAGGCCAGCGGGGAGGGCUCCUCCGAAGUGGGCAGAGGAAACAGGUGUCCUCCUGCCCCGCUGCUGGCCGGGACACAGCUGGGAGAAACCAGGCGGUUCCUCCUGCACCCCACCGGCCAGGCAGCUCGCUCUGGGCCCAGGCGCCCACUUGGGGCUCCUACAGUGGGAAAGAGACACCCAGAAAAUGCCAGCCGGCUCCAUCCAACACAUCUAUAAGGGGUGAUCAAAAUAUACAGUGAAAGUUGCCAUUUAAAAAUUAUUAUAGUAAAAGACACACUGCCAUGAGUCCCUCUCAAAGUCCUGCCCCCUGUUCCCAACAGGUUUAUACCGUCGUCCUUGCUGCUUUCUGCAGCAGUUCUGGAAGUCCUCUUUCCUGAAGGUCUUCACAAGGUGUGAUCAAAAAUACAGUGACUGCUGCUGCUGACUGCCAUCCAACGGAGGCUGCUCCUAAAAGCAAGAUGCUGUGUCCUCAGCCACCUUGUCCACCAGAUCUGGCACCGUGUAACUUCUGGCUCUUCCCCAUAGUCAAAGUGACCGUGAAAGGACAACGUCUGAAUCAGUUCAGGACAUCGAGGCAGCCAGGACAGCACAGCUAAAGACCCCCACGAAGGAGAACUCCAGAACUGCUGUAGGAAGUGACAAGAACUCGGGAUAAGUGUGUUCAAAGUGAGGGGAAGGUUCUGAGGGCGACUCGUGGCAGUGUGUCAUUUACUGCCGUAAAGUUUUUAAUUUACAUACCAUAGUUUUCGAUCAAACCAUGUAUGUUGGGUACCUGCCAGAGACCAGGCCUGCUGCAGAGAUGAGAAAACGAUGGUCCCUGCUGUGUAGGAAAGGUAGGAGCUCGGAGUAUGGAAUGAGCAAGCCCUGCCCGGGUUUGGAUCCAGACUUCAAACACAAGUACUUAGAUGACUGUGGGCAAGUGACUCUCACCUUCUGGGGCUCGGUUUUCUCAUUUAUGAAAUAGGCAUAAACAUUAUCUAGUUAAAUUUUUGAAGAAUUUUCCCAGCACCUAACAAGCACUCUUCAACGA